rnacentral:rRNA from 1 species
GACGAACGCUGGCGGCGUGCUUAACACAUGCAAGUCGAACGGAAAGGCCCUGCUUUUGUGGGGUGCUCGAGUGGCGAACGGGUGAGUAACACGUGAGUAACCUGCCCUUGACUUUGGGAUAACUUCAGGAAACUGGGGCUAAUACCGGAUAGGAGCUCCUGCUGCAUGGUGGGGGUUGGAAAGUUUCGGCGGUUGGGGAUGGACUCGCGGCUUAUCAGCUUGUUGGCGGGGUAGUGGCUUACCAAGGCUUUGACGGGUAGCCGGCCUGAGAGGGUGACCGGCCACAUUGGGACUGAGAUACGGCCCAGACUCCUACGGGAGGCAGCAGUGGGGAAUAUUGCACAAUGGGCGGAAGCCUGAUGCAGCAACGCCGCGUGCGGGAUGACGGCCUUCGGGUUGUAAACCGCUUUCGCCUGUGACGAAGCGUGAGUGACGGUAAUGGUAAAGAAGCACCGGCUAACUACGUG